CAAUAUUAAUGGGUGGAGGAGUUGUUGAUGCCUUUGUAGAUGAACCAUCUUUCUCUGUAUGUUCAGAAAGGUUGGCCUGAUGAUGAUUAAUAUUUGCACCAGAAUGUUCUCUUCCUCGACGACCACCUACCAUAACCAGAGGGACGGCCAUGUAGCUGCCAGUAGGUAUCACGAACAUGUCCCGUUUUAUUGCAAUAGGAGCAUAUCCGCGUAUCUCCACGUCCACAAGAUUGUUGAGAUUGUAACUGGGGUUGGACAACUAUUGCAGAGCGGAUAGUAUCCGGAACAAUCAUUACACGACGGUGAGUCUCUUCACUCAGAAUCAGAGGGAAGACUUGCUCAAGGAAGGCAGAUCUAUACUUCGACCUAGAAUCUGAACUCUGAUUGGGUCAAAUUCAUCAUUGAGUCUAGUAAGAAAAUCAAAGAUUCGCUCUUCGUCAGUGAAUUUCUUGAACAUAACAGCAUCUUCAGAAUAACAAGCUUUGAAGGGGCGAUAAAAAUCUAGCUCAAACCAUAUACGCUGGAGUUCUUCCAUAUAAGCAGUGAUAGAGAGAUCUCC
rnacentral:lncRNA from 1 species